rnacentral:rRNA from 1 species
AAACCAACCGGGAUUGCCUCAGUAACGGCGAGUGAAGCGGCAAAAAGCUCAAAUUUGAAAUCUCCGUAAGGCGAGUUGUAAUUUGAAGAGGGUACUUUGGGGCGGCGCCUUGUCUAUGUUCCUUGGAACAGGACGUCACAGAGGGUGAGAAUCCCGUGCGAUGAGGAGAGCCGUUCUAUGUAAAGUUCCUUCGACGAGUCGAGUUGUUUGGGAAUGCAGCUCUAAGUGGGUGGUAAAUUCCAUCUAAAGCUAAAUAUUGGCGAGAGACCGAUAGCGAACAAGUACAGUGAUGGAAAGAUGAAAAGCACUUUGAAAAGAGAGUGAAAAAGUACGUGAAAUUGUUGAAAGGGAAGGGCAUUUGAUCAGACAUGGCGUUUUUGCAUGCACUCGCCUCUCGUGGGCUUGGGCCUCUCAAAAAUUUCACUGGGCCAACAUCAAUUCUGGCAGCAGGAUAAAUCAUUAAGAAUGUAGCUACUUCGGUAGUGUUAUAGCUUUUUGGAAUACUGUUAC